rnacentral:rRNA from 1 species
CCCUUAGAUGUUCUGGGCCGCACGCGCGCUACACUGAUGCAUUCAACAAGCCUAGCCUUGACCGAGAGGUCCGGGUAAUCUUUGAAACUGCAUCGUGAUGGGGCUAGAUUAUUGCAAUUAUUAAUCUUCAACGAGGAAUGCCUAGUAAGCGUGAUUCAUCAAAUCGCGUUGAUUACGUCCCUGCCCUUUGUACACACCGCCCGUCGCUCCUACCGAUUGAAUGUGUUGGUGAGGAGCUCGGAUUGGCAGCAGUUGGUGGUUCGCCACCGGCUAGUGCUGAGAAGUCCUCCAAACCGCCCCAUUUAGAGGAAGGAGAAGUCGUAACA